rnacentral:snRNA from 1 species
GGCUUUGUGCAGUGGCAGUAUCAUAGCCAACGAUGUUUACCUGAGGCAUGAUUAUUGCUAAUUAAAAAAAGGAAUUACAG